AAGAAAAAUCAUCCUGUGAAGAGAUUGCUGAUCAAAAUUAAAACAAUGAUUCAUAAAACUGGCUUUGUAGCCUUCAUAUUCACCACUCUACUGGGCGCAGCUUCAGCAAUAUUUUUAUUUACAAAAAUAAUUACAUAUUUUGCAAUAUGUUGAGAACAUUAUCAACUAUGUGUAGUAUAGAAAAAAUUGUAAUAUACUUAUAUGUGAUGGGAAUGAGGCUAAAAGGAUAUUGUCUUCUUAAACUCAUAUUAUUUCCUUAUUGGUAAAAUUGGUGUUAAAGUAAGGCAUCUAUCUUCUUUUUCCAUUUUUGUUUAGUUAUUAUAGUAUUUUUAUUUUAAAUGUAUAUAAUACACCAAUCCCUCACUUAGCACGACUAAUUCGUUCCUAAAAAUGUUCGUGUUAAUCGAAAUCGCGUAUUCUGAAGCAUUAGUCCCCAUAAAUAUAAGGCUAAAUUAUUUAAUGUGUUCCAAGAUGUGUAGGGAAGUAAUCUUUACAUAAUAUAAAUGCGUAGAAUAAUACUUGAAAAUGCAUAUGUCAUAUCAUUUAUCUUUUUAAGCCUACCACCGAAUACGUUAGAUAAAGAAAACAUGGCACAGUGUAACGGGAGAUAAGUGGUAACAUAUUUACCGUCAGUCAGCAGGUUGGCUUGCCCGCCCAGGCGUGACCUUCAACACGCGCGCGCGUCUGUCUGCCUGCUGUUGCAAGCAGCUGGAUCCUUUGUUAUUACGUUUAAAACUUAACAAAAUUAAAACACUUUUAUGAAAUUAAGAACCGGUUUUAUAUAACUUUAAAACACACAGCCAUAUGUAAACAUUUAAUUUGUUAUGCACACCUCUUGUAAAAGCGGCUAUGUAAACAAAUCAGUUAACAGAUAAACAGAUUUAGAUUUUCCCUAGAGCACAAACAUAACAUUAAAAUACGGGUACACUCCCUAUUUAACGCGGUUGUCGGGGGACAUAACUUUUACCCGCGUUGUUGCAUAACCGCGAUGUUUCGAUGUGACCAAGGUCAAAAGGCAUAAAACACCGCCUGUGUUCUAAUAGGUCGGCAAGCACGCACAGUAUAGACGGCCCGCCUUUGUGCGGACUUUGCAUCCGCAGUUUCCACUAAACACGGGUGAAAAAAUAAAAAUAAUAAAUUUUAAAGAUAAAUACUAAAUGUUGAAUUGUUUUUAUUUUUCCGCGUGCCGCGCACAGUUUGUCGCACGGCCUACGAGCGCGCCACACGCCGCCAUACACAUGUGCGGCACACAAGCUGCUGCUGCCAGUCUCGUGGUGUUAGCCAGGGGGUGGCAACUCUAAUAGGCCAUUAUGUACCCAGAUACUAUUUUUAAUCUGCACAACAGAUAGCGCUAGUAGAUUGACCUAGUUCUUUUGUAAAUUCAUAGGUAGCGUUAGUGUUCAUAAUCAAAUGUCAAUUGAAUGUUUAUAAGAAACUAAAUUUAUGCAAUAAAUACUAAUAAUGCAAUAAAUAUAGUGUAAUAUUAAUUUAUUUUGAUUUCAAAAACAGUUGAUUUGUAAAAAUUGUUUUUUUUUUGCAGUAAUAUUCGUUUACAGAUUGAUUUGAGCAUUAUAGUCGCUCUUUUUUUUUUCGGUUUGUAGUAGAUUUUGGUCGAGUGAAAGAUGGAUUUUACAAUGGAGUUUGAUUUAUCAUUUUGAAUUAUUUUCCUAUAUGAUUGUGAAUUAAGAAGCCGAUGAAGAUGCCUGUGAAUACACAUCAAUGUUUUGUGUCUUCGUGCAGGAACAGUAUUACUGUUAAUCCUGAUGUGACAACAUUCAGAUUUCCAUGAAGCCGAAGCAAGUUAUUGAAGUGGAUUGCUGCAAUUGGCUAUGACCUUGAUGCCAGUAAUGCUGAAACAUUUAAAACUAAAUAUGUAUGUUCCGAACAUUUUGAUAUUGGAGCUUUCACUACAUGUGACUGCAUCAAAUUGAAUCGUGGUGCUGCUACAACAUAUUUUAAUUCUGUGGACAGUGAAGUAUGGAUCUAUUGUUAUAAUUUAUUAUGUCUAGAAUGCUGCCAAAUAUAGGUGAAAUGUUUAUGUUACAUAACAUAACUUGUAAGAUCUACUUGUGCAGAUAUAUAUUUUCACCUGCCUCUAAGGUCCUUUGUUAUUCACAGGUAGCAUUUACAUGUGAUGAAGCAGUAUUUAACAUUAUUGGUCAACAUGCAGUCCAUCAUUACAACCUUUGUACAGGCGCAUACAAACAUAUAUGUGUGGGGUAUUUCACACUUUUUAUUUGAUGUUAAAGAUUGGUAUGGUGACCGGGAUACUUUUUUUUAUUAAACCUCCUACACAGUUCUCUACUGUUUCCCUUAUCUGUUGCCUUAACAUUUUUUUCCGAUCAGUCCAAUUCCUUGAAUCACAUUGCAAAAAAAGUCACAAUACAUGGGAUUGGGCCACUCUCUUCAAAGAAUUGUAAUUCGAGUUUAAACAUAGCAAGGCUGACCAUAAAUUGUAGAGGAAAAUUUAAAAUGUUGAUCUUCAACAUAUUUAUAACCUAUGAUCAUGUGAUGUAUAUACAGCUAGUUAGAAAGUAAGUUGUAGUAUAGUAUGCAAUUGAACCUUCAAUAAGUUCUACAUCCACACUUAAAAACUUAUUUUACUUGAUGUUUUAUGUUCAAUAACUAUUCAGUAUAAAGGUUUUUUUUUACAUUAUAAACUACAAAAGUAUUCCGAUUUGUAAAUGUAAUGAAAUUCCACUGAGCCCUCUACCUUUUUUUUAACUACCAUUUCUGCCGUGUGGCCUUUUUUUUCUUACUUUUGUGUUCAUUAUAAGUUACAACCACUCAUUUGAUUUAUUGUGUUAAAUUAAAUGAUAUUUAAAAUUGGAUGUCACUUCAUAAGAACAUUCAGGAUUACCUGUAUUCACAGCGCACAAUUAUACAAAAGUUUUUUAUGUAUGUAAAAGUGUUUUACGUAAGCCAGUGGACACAUACAUGUAUUGAGUAACAUGAGAAAAUUGAAAUAUCUAAAAUAAAAUUAAAAGGUUACAAGCUUUUAUAUACAUGCAGCUCCCAAAAAAGUCUGCAUACUAAAAAAUAACACAUGCUUUUAAAUGAAUUCUUACCAUCUUAUAAACUAGUAGUAUUUUGUUAUUUGAUUUCAAAUGAAUUGUUUUUGGUUAAUUUAUUUGACUGUAGGGAUUAAAUAUCAUUUGUAGAAUAAAGUGUGAAAAGUAGUAUUGAUCAAUUUAACUGUAAGUACUAAAUAUGUGUUACAUUUCUUGUAAGUUAAAAUUGUUCAGGUAUUAUAAAUUAGCUGAAAAAAGCAAACUCAUGACUAGAAUAAAUUGUACUGUUAGGUAUGUUUCGAAGAAAGACUACCUGUUGCAGUCGUUACCAUGUGUAUGUACCACAUUUUUAUUGUCAUUAUAACUGCCAUAAUUUUGUACAAAUAAAUCACUUAAUACAUAAAAUAUGGUUAUGGAAAUUC